CAGCAGCCGCGGUAAUUCCAGCUCCAAUAGCGUAUAUUAAAGUUGUUGUGGUUAAAAAGCUCGUAGUUGGAUCUCAACAGCCUUGAAGCGGUUAACUUUGUAGUUUUACUGCUUUAUAGGCUGUGCUUUUGCUGGAGGUUUAGGGGUGCUCUUGAUCGAGUGUCUCUGGAUGCCAGCAGGUUUACUUUGAAAAAAUUAGAGUGCUCAAAGCAGGCUAAAAUGCCUGAAUAUUCGUGCAUGGAAUAAUAGAAUAGGAUGUCGAUCCUAUUUUGUUGGUUUUCGGGACUCGACAUAAUGAUAAAUAGGGACAGUCGGGGGCAUUUGUAUUCAAACGACAGAGGUGAAAUUCUUGGACCGUUUGAAGACAAACUACUGCGAAAGCAUUUGCCAAGAAUGUUUUCAUUAAUCAAGAACGAAAGUUAGAGGUUCGAAGGCGAUUAGAUACCGCCCUAGUUCUAACCAUAAACGAUGCCAGCUAGCGAUCUGCCUGCGUUUUUACUGUAGACUGGGCGGGAAGCUUCCGGGAAACCAAAGCAUUUGGGUUCCAGGGGAAGUAUGGUUGCAAAGCUGAAACUUAAAGGAAUUGACGGAAGGGCACCACCAGGAGUGGAGCCUGUGGCUUAAUUUGACUCAACACGGGAAAUCUCACCAGGCCCGGACACUGGAAGGAUUGACAGAUUGAUAGCUCUUUCUUGAUUCGGUGGGUGGUGGUGCAUGGCCGUUCUUAGUUGGUGGAGUGAUUUGUCUGGUUAAUUCCGAUAACGAACGAGACUCUGUCCUGCUAAAUAGUUUCUACUUCUCUUUUGAGUAGAAAUUUCUUCUUAGAGGGACUGGUGACUCUUAGUCACACGAGAUUGAGCAAUAACAGGUCUGUGAUGCCCAAGGG
rnacentral:rRNA from 1 species